rnacentral:rRNA from 2 species
CUCAGAUUGAACGCUAGCGGGAUGCCUUACACAUGCAAGUCGAACGGCAGCACGGACUUCGGUCUGGUGGCGAGUGGCGAACGGGUGAGUAAUGUAUCGGAACGUGCCCAGUAGCGGGGGAUAACUACGCGAAAGCGUAGCUAAUACCGCAUACGCCCUACGGGGGAAAGCAGGGGAUCGCAAGACCUUGCACUAUUGGAGCGGCCGAUAUCGGAUUAGCUAGUUGGUGGGGUAACGGCUCACCAAGGCGACGAUCCGUAGCUGGUUUGAGAGGACGACCAGCCACACUGGGACUGAGACACGGCCCAGACUCCUACGGGAGGCAGCAGUGGGGAAUUUUGGACAAUGGGGGAAACCCUGAUCCAGCCAUCCCGCGUGUGCGAUGAAGGCCUUCGGGUUGUAAAGCACUUUUGGCAGGAAAGAAACGUCGUGGGUUAAUACC